AGCGAACGCUGGCGGCAGGCCUAACACAUGCAAGUCGAGCGGCCGUAGCAAUACGGCAGCGGCAGACGGGAGAGUAACACGUGGGAACGUACCUUUCAGUUCGGAACAACCCAGGGAAACUUGGGCUAAUACCGGAUGCGCCCGUAAGGGGAAAGAUUUAUCGCUGAAAGAUCGGCCCGCGUCUGAUUAGCUAGUUGGUGAGGUAAUGGCUCACCAAGGCGACGAUCAGUAGCUGGUCUGAGAGGAUGAUCAGCCUCACUGGGACUGAGACACGGCCCAGACUCCUACGGGAGGCAGCAGUGGGGAAUAUUGGACAAUGGGCGCAAGCCUGAUCCAGCCAUGCCGCGUGGAUGAUGAAGGCCCUAGGGUUGUAAAGUCCUUUCGGCGGGGAAGAUAAUGACGGUACCCGCAGAAGAAGCCCCGGCUAACUUCGUGCCAGCAGCCGCCGUAAUAC
rnacentral:rRNA from 1 species